rnacentral:rRNA from 1 species
UGGGGAAUAUUGCACAAUGGAGGGAACUCUGAUGCAGCGACGCCGCGAACGAAGAAGGCUUUCGAGUCGUAAAGUUCUUUUAUAUGGGAAGAUAAUGACGGUACCAUAAGAAAAAGCCCCGGCUAACUACGUGCCAGCAGCCGCGGUAAUACGUAGGGGGCUAGCGUUGUCCGGAAUCACUGGGCGUAAAGGGUUCGCAGGCGGAAAUGCAAGUCAGGUGUAAAAGGCAGUAGCUUAACUACUGUAAGCAUUUGAAACUGCAUAUCUUGAGAAGAGUAGAGGUAAGUGGAAUUUUUAGUGUAGCGGUGAAAUGCGUAGAUAUUAAAAAGAAUACCGGUGGCGAAGGCGACUUACUGGGCUCAUUCUGACGCUGAGGAACGAAAGCGUGGGUAGCAAACAGG